rnacentral:rRNA from 1 species
GACGAACGCUGGCGGCAUGCUUAACACAUGCAAGUCGAACGGUAAGGCCCUUCGGGGUACACGAGUGGCGAACUGGUGAGUAACACGUGGGUGAUCUGCCCUGCACUUCGGGAUAAGCCUGGGAAACUGGGUCUAAUACCGGAUAGGACCACUGCCUGCAUGGGUGGUGGUGGAAAGCUUUUGCGGUGUGGGAUGGGCCCGCGGCCUAUCAGCUUGUUGGUGGGGUGAUGGCCUACCAAGGCGACGACGGGUAGCCGGCCUGAGAGGGUGACCGGCCAACGUGGGACUGAGAUACGGCCCAGACUCCUACGGGAGGCAGCAGUGGGGAAUAUUGCACAAUGGGCGCAAGCCUGAUGCAGCGACGCCGCGUGAGGGAUGACGGCCUUCGGGUUGUAAACCUCUUUCAGCACAGACGAAGCGCAAGUGACGGUAUGUGCAGAAGAAGGGCCGGCCAACUACGUGCCAGCCGCCGCCGUAA